rnacentral:sRNA from 1 species
CGCUUGGAGGGGAAGGAGCCGCGGGAGUGAAUAACCCUAUACCUUCCAAUUUGAAAUCAGAAGCAAAAAAGGCUGCCAAAAUAUUAAGAGAAUUCACAGAAAUAACUUCCAGAAAUGGACCUGAUAAGAUCAUUCCUGCUCACGUAAUUGCGAAGGCUAAAGGCCUUGCAAUUCUGUCUGUGAUCAAAGCCGGGUUCCUGGUGACUGCCAGAGGAGGCAGCGGGAUUGUAGUGGCGCGCCUUCCAGAUGGAAAAUGGUCUGCACCCUCAGCCAUUGGGAUAGCUGGCCUUGGUGGAGGAUUUGAAAUAGGAAUUGAGGUAUCAGACUUGGUGAUAAUUCUGAAUUAUGACCGUGCUGUAGAAGCUUUUGCAAAAGGCGGAAAUCUAACCCUCGGAGGGAACUUGACUGUGGCGGUUGGGCCCUUGGGAAGGAACUUGGAAGGAAACGUGGCCCUGAGAAGCUCCGCUGCUGUCUUCACAUACUGCAAGUCGAGGGGACUCUUUGCAGGCGUGUCUUUAGAAGGGAGCUGUUUGAUUGAAAG